rnacentral:lncRNA from 1 species
GACUUGGCCAAGAAAGUGAUUAUACAGGAAAGAUUGAGGAAAGCUGAGGAGGACGUGGAUGAGGACGAUGCUGAUGAAGAACCUGAAGAAGACUUGACUGUGGAUCAGAUGGAGCUGAAGGCCACAGCGGGUGAUGCCAGGGCGCAGACUCGGCUUGGUCAGCACUACCUUCUUCUUGCUGAAGAGAUGAACACUGAGGAAAAUAACAUUUAG